rnacentral:rRNA from 1 species
GAUUGAACGCUAGCGGGAUGCUUUACACAUGCAAGUCGAACGGCAGCGCGGACUUCGGUCUGGCGGCGAGUGGCGAACGGGUGAGUAAUGUAUCGGAACGUACCCAGUAGCGGGGGAUAACUACUCGAAAGAGUGGCUAAUACCGCAUACGCCCUACGGGGGAAAGGGGGGGAUCGCAAGACCUCUCACUAUUGGAGCGGCCGAUAUCGGAUUAGCUAGUUGGUGGGGUAAAGGCCUACCAAGGCAACGAUCCGUAGCUGGUUUGAGAGGACGACCAGCCACACUGGGACUGAGACACGGCCCAGACUCCUACGGGAGGCAGCAGUGGGGAAUUUUGGACAAUGGGGGCAACCCUGAUCCAGCCAUCCCGCGUGUGCGACGAAGGCCUUCGGGUUGUAAAGCACUUUUGGCAGGAAAGAAAUCGCCCGGGCUAACACUCCGGGUGGAUGACGGUACCUGCAGAAUAAGCACCGGCUAACUACGUGCCAGCAGCCGCGGUAAUACGUAGGGUGCAAGCGUUAAUCGGAAUUACUGGGCGUAAAGCGUGCGCAGGCGGUUCGGAAAGAAAGAUGUGAAAUCCCAGGGCUUAACCUUGGAACUGCAUUUUUAACUACCGGGCUAGAGUGCGUCAGAGGGGGGUGGAAUUCCGCGUGUAGCAGUGAAAUGCGUAGAUAUGCGGAGGAACACCGAUGGCGAAGGCAGCCCCCUGGGAUGACA